UACGUAGGGGGCAAGCGUUGUCCGGAUUUAUUGGGCGUAAAGAGCGUGUAGGCGGUUUGGUAGGUCCGCUGUGAAAACGUCGACGGCUCAACCUCGAGACGUCGGUUGAAACCACCUGGCUAGGAGUCCGGAAGAGGAGUGUGGAAUUCCCGGUGUAGCGGUGGAAUGCGCAGAUAUCGGGAGGAACACCCGUGCGAAGGCGGCACUCUGGAGCGUACUGACGCUGAGACGACGAAAGCCAGGGGAGCGAACGGG
rnacentral:rRNA from 1 species